UAGGGAAUCUUCGGCAAUGGGGGCAACCCUGACCGAGCAACGCCGCGUGAGUGAAGAAGGUUUUCGGAUCGUAAAGCUCUGUUGUAAGUCAAGAACGAGUGUGAGAGUGGAAAGUUCACACUGUGACGGUAGCUUACCAGAAAGGGGCGGCUAACUACGUGCCAGCAGCCGCGGUAAUACGUAGGUCCCGAGCGUUGUCCGGAUUUAUUGGGCGUAAAGCGAGCGCAGGCGGUUUGAUAAGUCUGAAGUUAAAGGCUGUGGCUCAACCAUAGUUCGCUUUGGAAACUGUCAAACUUGAGUGCAGAAGGGGAGAGUGGAAUUCCAUGUGUAGCGGUGAAAUGCGUAGAUAUAUGGAGGAACACCGGUGGCGAAAGCGGCUCUCUGGUCUGUAACUGACGCUGAGGCUCGAAAGCGUGGGGAGCGAACAGGAUUAGAUACCCUGGUAGUCCACGCCGUAAACGAUGAGUGCUAGGUGUUGGGUCCUUUCCGGGAUUCAGUGCCGCAGCUAACGCAUUAAGCACUCCGCCUGGGGAGUACGGCCGCAAGGUUG
rnacentral:rRNA from 1 species